rnacentral:rRNA from 1 species
UACGUAGGGUGCAAGCGUUGUUCGGAAUCAUUGGGCGUAAAGCGCGUGUAGGCGGUUAGGUAAGUCGGGUGUGAAAUCCCUGGGCUCAACCGAGGAAGUGCAUCCGAAACUGCUUAGCUGGAGGACGGUAGAGGAAGGUGGAAUUCCUAGUGUAGAGGUGAAAUUCGUAGAUAUUAGGAGGAAUACCGGUGGCGAAGGCGGCCUUCUGGGCCGAUCCUGACGCUGAGACGCGAAAGCGUGGGUAGCAAACAGG